CGGUGAGGUGCGGAGCGCACUGGCGGUGCGGUGAGGGGUGAGGUGUGAGGCACGGGGCGGAGCACGGUGGAGGACGCGGUGAGGUGCGGGGUGCAGCGUGGAGCGUGGUAAGGUGCAGGCUGGAGAGUGGUGGCGAGGAGUCCCUGAUAUUCGUUUGACGCCAGAGCAGUUUGAUGAGACUUGGAAAUGCUGCCAUCCCCAUGUCACGUAAGGGAAGGUAUCACAAAAGUAUUUCCUCUUAAACCAGCCUGUUUGGAGUUCUCAGUACAGCCAAGCAACCAUGGGUGUGUCUGCAGGCAGCCAAACCAGUAAGCCUACAGCUGAAAUUGCUAAAAAAACCAACAAAGGUGAAUUUAUUUCACUAUUAUCUUUGUCUUUACAGCAGUGUGAAGGAAUGGGUGAAGGACCACUGGUGUCUUGAGAGGCUGAUGCUGAGAACAAAUAAGGUAUCAUAUGACUAAAAACUGAAGGACAGUUUUCAAGAAAAAAAAUAAAACUCUUUUUUAGCUUUAUGAUACUGUUCCUCCCUCUUUUAUAAUCUACUGUAAAAAUCUAAAUAUAAUCAGUGGAUUAUGUCACAGGGUGUGACAUGAAUAACUAAAAGGCAUGAAGUUAUUAUAAUAGCUAUGAUAUAUAAUAAUAUAAUAUAUAUGAUAUAAUAAUAUAGCUAUUAUAAAAACUAUAGGCAUGGUUAACUUAAAAGUAUAUCAUGCAACUGUGGUAUAAUCUUAUAUUAUUCCCUACUAACCCACUGCUUUGAGUUAGGUGGUGGUUUAGUCUGAUCGUUUUUACAUUAUCUAAUCUUAACAUUUUAUUUUGCUUGAAAAAAUUGAUAUAGGUGGCUAUUGGUGGUUCCAUAAAUGGAGCAUCCUAUGAAAAUAACAGAGGAGUUAAGUAAAUUCAAGUCUUUAGUGUUGCUGGGGAGAUAUCCAUCUUCUCUCAUAAUGGUUAUAAAGACACAGCUAUUUUGUCUUCUAAUGUUUUGGCUUAGAGUAAAUAUAUAGUUGUCAAGCAGCGAGAGUGAUUUAUAUAGGAAAGAAAGAAACUAAAAACUGAAACAAAGGAUAGUUAAAAUUUAUAUACCAACGGGACUAAAUAUACUUUAUUAUAAUUCCAGAGAGGCACCUUGUAUUAAUUCAUUCUUAAAUGGUAUUGAGGUGUGGGGACUGGAACAAUGCCUAAGUGCUAGGACAGUAUCUGGAAUUUACAUACAAAAUAACUAUCAGAUCACAGUGCAAAAGAAAUAUCAGGGCUAUGUGAUGUGUGUGCUAUGCUGACAUUUGAAUGAGAUCAUUGACUCUGAAAAUUCUGCAGUGGAAAGUGGAUAUAUUUUCCUUGCUUUCUUUUGUGAUUGUUACUUUAUUAUUGUAAGCUGUUGCUAAUUAUCAGAUAUCUACAUAACUUGUUUCAACCUGUGAAACCUAGUUUAAGGAAUGAGGGAUAAGCUUGCAGUAAUUACUGCAUAAACUAUGAACAAACUACAUAUUCCAGAAUAGCCAUAAUUUGUAACACUGAAUGACUGCUUUACAACAUCGGUGCUUCCACAUUUCAGCAGUAUAAUUGAACUGGAAUGUCACAGGAAACAUUGAUUACUCCCCUCCACCCCCUCAGCUUUCUGCCUUGUAGAUCAUUAAUUAGACAUCUCAAGAGAUGAAGUUAAAUGAUUCAGUCUUUGCACUCCUUAAAAAAAAAAAAAAAACAAUCUACCACAAAACCAACACAAACUAUUCUGUAAGGAAGUUAAGGAACUGGAAGCUGCAUCUAUUCUUCUGUAGAUUUGAAAGAUUAUGUGGGUGAGUAUAGGCAUGAGCUUAAAAUGGAGCUUCAGUGUUAUUAGAACAAAUUAACUGCAACUAUAACACAAUACCAUUCUCGUAACAACCAAAGUACUGCUUACUAAGUCUGAAUUUGUGAUGAAUAUACCAUGUUCCCUGGUUCUUCCUCAAAUAUUUGUUCAGUAAUUGUCUUCAUUAACAUCCAGUAAAUACCAUCUUUUUAUCCUGGCUGCUGUCAAACUGUUUCUUUCAAGAGCCUGAAGAGUGAAGUGAAGUUAGCUGUGACUUACUGUUAACUGAACCACACCGAUAGCUGAAACAAUGCCAACAUCCUAAUACAUCCCACAGUGUGAAAAUUGUUAUAUCUUUCUUUCCUGCCUUUGAUUACUAUACUGAGCUUCCUCUUACUUUACUACUGCUGGUUGUUUUAAUCUGUUGAACGAAGACAAGGAAUUUAGCAUUUGCUUGGGCAAGUGGAACCACCAUCAUUACUGGAAUUACCAGCAAGCAGUGUGGCUGAAUCCAGACCAUAGGCUUUAAAAAUUGUCCGUGAUACAACAUAUUGAUGGGUAUGUUUAGUGCUUUUAUUCUCCUAGUAUGAAUUAUCUCCUAGAACUCCAUGAUUUUGUAAUCCACUUUCAAAGCACACAAAUACUGAUGAAGCUCUGUUUUUGUGACAUUAAAGCCUAAAGGAUGUGUCUGACUCAGAGGUUAGACAUAAAGAAGAAAUCUCCACUCCUUCACAAUUUUCUCUUUAAAUGCAAGUUUUUCAAGGGCUUAUGUCUGCAUCCUCACAGAUGUCAGGGAGACUACAUUCUUCAGUAAAAAGUAUCUAGUCCUGUGUUUCAAAGCCUUUGAAACAUAUCCUUGCUGUUUGAGGGAGAAAAGAGCACCUUUUCACCAUGGCAGAAUCGUGAGAAAGUUAGUGAGUCAUCAGUGCAGAGACAAGUAACAAUUUCACCAUUUCUGUAGUUUUGGUACAAAGUUACUAAUGUGUUUGUAUACCUCUCCACCAAUUCCAUGCAGAAUAAAAUCAGAAAGUAUAAAUACCACUUUCUCUCUCCAAAGGAUAGCUAUCCAACAAAUAUUCCCAUCUGACUGUAUUAUCUACACCACAACUGGCUGUGUUAACUAUCAUCCAAAGAAUUCUUCCAUAGGAUUGGCACAGCCAUUCCAAAUUAAGUGGUGUUAGCAUCGGUUCCUGUCACAGUUUUCAGUUUGUUCCAGAGCUCUUCAAAACGGCAAAGACCCCCUUGAGUACUCUCAGAGUCAUCUAGGAGGUGUCAUGGAAUCCAUUUCAAAUCUAACAUUUAAUACUACAUAGUAAGGUUUCUACAUUUAUGGGCAGAGUAAUUUCAGAUCUACUGAGCACUUUUUCUGGCUCUCGUCUCAGGGGGAAGCAUGUAGCGUGGAUCUCAAGUUCUAAGCAUGUGACUUGAGAAUACCAGUUUUUGCAUUUAACGAAGACAGAUUACAGUUCAGGCUUCAUUUGAAAGUAAAGCGAAUAAAACUGAUUAGGUCUUUUUGAAUGAAGAAGUAUUAUUAAUUCACCUUCAACUGUGUCACAGGCCAGACAUUUAAUUUAUGAAUGGAUUGCCAGAAAAAUGUAAGGGUACAGUUAAAGCCAUUUUUCUAGAUAGACAAGUCAUGACUAGAUCAUGGCAGCAAUUGCAGGUGCUGCUGGAUUAAGAAUGUUUAGUAUGGCAGCAAGAGUGGUGGCCAAAAUUAUCUGCUCACAGAAGUCUAAAUAAAAAUUGAGGAUUUUCCUUUGAAUGAACAUAGCAUCGGACAGCCUCAGAAUGAAACCUCAGCGUGUUCACCACAAAAUCAGAUGAGCAUUUCAGGAAAGUAUCUUAAUUUCAGAAGAGGAAAUCUACUUCUUCCUCUUCAGUUACUUUCCAUGUUCCUGGACUACCUGUGAAGAUUUGAAUUAGUUUUUUCUAUCCUUUCCUGGCAUGCCCACUCACCUCUAGACCUUCCAUUUUUCUAUGAAAAAUUUCUAUGAUUUGCAGGAAAUUUGUGAGUAUUACUAGUCUUUUAGAAAUAAUAUACUUCAGAGUUUCUUUCUCUGCUUAAUCUCUACCCACAUCUUUUCUCUCAGCCUUCUUCCAGGGUGCUUAUAAAAUUACUGCCACCAUUAGAAACAGGGCUUUGGAGGCAAAGUCUUUGUAUGUAAAACUUGCUUUGUGAAUUAGCUAAUUCAUAAUAAAUUAGCAGAUUUAGACCUACAGGAAAUAGGUAUGUUUUCUAGUUAUUUUCUUCAUUGCCACUAAAGUCAAACUUGGUUCUUUCAGGAAAAAAAAUAUUACAGCAAUUCUGAACCCUAAAGCAUCAAUACCCAAAGUGUUACAACUGAAUUAUCCUUGUCAAUUAGUCAGGUUCUACCUUUCAUUUUUCAAGCACAUGAUUUCAUUUCCAAAUACCAUAGAGGAAAAUUCAGUUUACACUGCUUACGUCAUAGAAUGUAUCAGUACCUCUGCCAAAACAAGUACAGAUUUUAAUCUUUGAGUGUAGAUUUUGAGUGUAGACUCCACCACAAAUUGCAUCAGGGAGCACCAGCUGCUGAUCUAUUACCUACCCGUAAAUGUUCAUACAAAUGUGUGCACAGUGGGGGUGCAUAGAAUAAUCAGGCUAAGUGUUGAAUCCACUGCCUAUCAGUAGUCACACACUUGCAUUCAUAUAAGUAUAUAAUCUGAAUGAUUUGUUGGGUUCAUGUCUCAUUUGUUUCCCAGAUGGAUCCCAGUAGAGUCAGGGUAACACUGUAUAUUCUAAAUAGCCAGCAAGAAGAAACCCAAACAUUUCUGUCAAUUACUUUUUAACAGUUUAUUUCACAAAUUUGUCAGUGUAAGCAAAGAUAGUGGAAUUUAAAAAAAAAAUGUCACCAUAUGUGCCUAUACCAUGUCUGUUGCUUCAGCAUUUUGAAAAGGAGUGGUGGGUGUUUUUGUAUUCCUGCAAAGAUAAAUGAAAUCUCAGCAUGUUGUCAGGUCCCAUGUCCCCCGUUCCCCCCCCCCCCCAAGUACUAUUUUUCAUGCAGCCAGUCAUACAGUGAAUCGCUGUCUCAAAUUCAUUUUGAAAGCUGUGCUUGAUUUUGAAGUCCAUUUGUGAAAUUGUGAGAGGAUAUAAAUCGUCUUCUAUUUCUCAGCUGAAAGACUUUCUGAGUGGAUCACAGACACUAUCGGUAUCAUGUAUGAUGUUGAUGUGGCUUCUGCAAUUCAUUUUAUGUCUCAACCUACAAGGACUAAAGCAGGAGUAACUGAAAUACUAGGAAUAUAUUUAACAACAUCCACUUACAGAAUUAUCAAUCAUUAAUCCUCAAUGGGAGCUUUAAGGUCAGAUGCUCAGUCAGGCAAAGUGGGCUGUAAUCUGUUACAUCACUUUGUCUUUCGCCUCCAGGAAAGGCCUCCAGCAGUAAGUUCUCAAAGAAAGUUUAUCACUGUAGAGUAAAUGUAAUUUUCUGAGCUACUCAGUAUGAAUGGGUUCUACAGGUUCUAUAGUUUUCUCCCAGGGCGCAGACACUAGGUUUCUGGGCAGGGAAGAAACUGUGCGGUGGUCUUGGUUGCUCUGCAUCUUGGUGUGGCUGGAAGCCUGGCUAUCGUGUACGCAGCUGGAAGGCUCCUGCAGCGAAAGGAGAUCCUUGUACGCAAGAUGUUUUGAAGAAUUAGAGUUGUUGCAUGCCAAAGUCUUCUUUUUCUGCCCAUUUACCAGAAGCAAGCUCCAAAUGAAUACACUAACUCCCCAAGAAGCUGAUUUGAAUCACUUGUGACUCAUCUAUAUCUACGAACAAAACUUUCCAACUUUACAGCAUUUAUUUUGAUUGGAUUUUAUAAUGACAGUCCCAGUUACCAAAGAGUAAUUGACGAUAUAGGCUGGUUUUGUGUUAUUAAUGAAGGCAGUAUGACUUAUAGUAGUGACAUUUAGCAACUCACUAAAAUAUCUAGAGAAGAAAUGAGAACUUCAGUGAAUUGUUUCUUUUUCUUUCAUGGAAGCUUCAUGAUUGGGAAAGUGUUUUUUAAAAAAUAUUUCUUUUUCAAUCCUCGUUUAUUCCAUCAUUCAUGAAUUUAAAUUUUAUAUAUUUUCAGUGACAUUGUAAUACCUUAAACAGCUGACAGCAUGUGGAUUGUCUUUCAGGAACACUGUCCAUCAGAUUUUUCUCAUUUCAUGGCAACAUUUAAACAAUUAGUGUUUUAAUGAGGCUGAAAAUUUGUAGCCCAAAUAAUGUAACGAGUUUGACCAUCUUCCAGAAUGACUGUGGCACUAAUGUGGAAAUGGAUUUAACCAUAUGCUUGAGUUCAUAUCUGUAGCGUUGGGCAGCAGCAGCCUUCCUGAUUUAAGUGAGGUGUAAGCUGACACAUAGCAUUUUCUGAGUUUGGAGGAUUUAUUGUACUGUUGCUUUGUCUGUGUGAAAAGUACAGGUAUGAUAUUUCCGUUUUCUCACAUGUUGCAUUCUGCUGUCUCAAUUUAUUUAUUCAUGUCUUCAAAUUAUUCAAAUGAGACCUGAUCCAUUAAUUAUUUUCAGUCUUAGAGUACCACCUGGAAUUGCAUAAUAUUUCUUAAAUGGGAGGUAAAUUUGAUUCUGCUACUUAACAGAAUGUGAAAGAUUGAACUGCAUCAGUACCAUAGUCUGAACUGUGCUGAUGGCUGUCAGGUGUUCUAGUUCUGUACCUAAUAAAAGAGACCGUUUUGUUUCCUCUUCUUUUCAGAAAGGUCUUGCAUCCUAAUAAAAAUAUUUUUUUUCCUAAAGUGACUUCAUACACAUUAGUUAUCCAACUGUGGAAUAAACAUUCAUCCUCAAAAAUAAAGAACUAAUUAGUGUGGGGCAAUUGCCAGAUACUAGCAGCAUAUAUUCCACAGCCACAGUAGCAAGAAUUCUAUGAAAAUUAUCCUACUAUUUAGGUAACCAUAGCACAGUUGUGUUAAAUUUAUUCUGCAAAAAGUUGCUGGCUACUUGACAGCACAAUCAGCCUUUUUCAAAGUUACUUUCAUGAGAAAGUAACUUCAUGAACACUUCAUGGGUUUUUGUGAGAAAAGAAAACCCAAAAACAAACCAAAAAAAAACCAACUCAAAUGUAAAGGAGAAUUAAAUGGCAGAUGUUAAAAUGGCUGCAUUCUGAAAUUUCCUCAGAGGUAAACACAAACCUCCCUGAAAUUAAAAAAAAAAAUCACUUCCUUGAAUAGUGGUUCUGCAUUUUGUAUUUACAUAUUUGAUAUAGAAUUCAGCCAUAAACUGUAAAACACAAAUUAAAUUUGCUUGUUUAGUAGCUUUAAAACUGGUAAAUUAAUUUUACUUUGCAUGACUAAGAAAAAUUUGAAGAAUUAUUCUUAAACAUAUUGGAUAUCUCAGUCAUUGCAGGAAAUUAAGCAGCCUAGGCCAAAUUCAUACUUAUAGGAACUUGACAGAAUACAAAUGAACAAUGAACCAAUUAACCCUCUUGAGUUUAACAUUAAAUUUGGUACAAGUUAAUAUUACACUUUAACUAUUAACUUCAGAUCCUUAGUAAUUUUACAGUUUUGGAGUAUCUUUUCAUGGUGAUAUAAUUAGUGUAGCUAUGUAGAGUUAUAUAGUAAAUUUAGAAGAAGACUGAUUGCAAAGUAUAUUUUUAGUCCUGUUUAUGUCUUUCCCAAGAAACAUAAAUAACCCUUUAAUGAGGCAAGGCACUUUAAAAGUUCGUAUUUUAAAAAACUUUCUAGUUUUUAAAACCUUUUUGGAAGAAUAUUAUACAUGCUUCAGUAUUAAGCUUCAUAAAGAUCAAGGUUGGGUUCCUAAUGCAAGGAUAAAUUCCUUAUACAUAAUGGGUGAAGAUGUGUUAAUCCUGACCCUCAGUCGAGUUUUAGCCUCACGGCAUGCCUAAUUCCAAGAACCCGACUAUGAAUUCAGUACAGAAUUCAAUUGCUCUAAUACCUGGCAUCUUGUAGAAACAGACUCCCAACACAAGCAUUCUCCUGGGUGCCAACUAGAUCCCAAGAACUGGAUCAUGAACUGUGUAUCAGAAAGGGUCACACUCAGCUAUAGUUGAACUGUAACUCCCCAUUCUUUUCUCUGCUUCAUCUGUUAUCCCAAAUUUACUGUCAGCAAGACUAACACUUGCCUUGGCUUGACAAUGACUGAGAAGCCACUCAUAUCACAGAAACUCAGUAUGGCAAGGAAAUUUUAGGAGUUAUGCUAUUUUAUCAUCCCUUUCCAAAUUAAAAAUGUGUUUUACCUAAUUAUUCUAUGCUUCUGAAGUUCUAACAUCUAUGUUUAGCCUUGUGCAUCCAGGUAGAGAAUCUUAAUGAUACAAAUUACUUACUUGUUGUUAUCUAAAACUUAAUUUAAUCCAACUUUUUAAACUCGGUAACUUUUAUUAAUGUUUUACUUACUGCUGUAGAUGGUUGUCCAACUAUAAAUCUAACACAAACCUUAAACACAGCUAUGUGUCAUGAGGCCAUCUCAGCAUGGUAGCUAGCUUAGCAGGGAAAGCACCAUUUCACAUUGUCUAACACAUGAAAACCUGCAGUUUUUAUCAAAGAAUUAUAGGAUUAAUUCUCCAUUUUUCAUCUAGUCCUGCUGCUCUGAGCAUGGCUAGCUUCAAAGCUAGUUCAAGUUACUGAGGGCUUUGUUCAGCUGUGGUUCAAAACUCUCUGAGGCGGGGAUGACCAGAUGUCCCGUUCCAGUGUUUAACCAGUUGUAGUUUUUUCCCCUAUAUCCAAUUAGGAUUUCCCUUGCUACAGCUUGUAGCAUCUCUCAUGCUACCAGAUAGCUCCACUUUAGUAAUGGAAGACAGCCGUUAGACUCCUUGGACUUCUCAUCUUCAGACUACACAAGGAGAGCUCCCUCUGCUCUUCUUACUUAAUAUGUUCUAAUCAUCAGCCCCCUAAUCAUCUUGAUGAUCCUGCACUGGUGUCUCUGUGGCUUGACUAUCUUAUAGCAGGGGUUACAGUACUGUACCCAGAUGUGACCCAGGGGAAAAAAAUCACUGCUGUUGCCUGCUGGCUAUGCUACUGCUCACGCACCCAAGGUGGUGUUAACCUUCAUGGCUGCCAGGGUGCCCUGCUUACUCAUAUUCAGCUUGUUGUCUGCCAAGAAUUUUGCUGCAGAGCUGCUAUCCAGCCACUCAGACCCCAUUCUGGAUCCAUGCCUAGGCUUAUCCAUUCCCAGUGCAGGGCUUUGCAUUUGUCUGCACUGAAACCCAUGAGGCUUCUGCUGGCCUGAUGCUCUAGGCUGCAGAGCAGAUCAGUGCUGUAUAUGCUGAAAACCUAACCCUGACCCCAGCUGUGAUACCUGAUCGUAUUUUCUGUUUCCAGUAGUACCUUUUCAGAGCACAACACAGUAUGGUAAAGAAACAAAUAUUAGUCAGUACAAAAAUUAUCUCUGUAUGUUCUUUCUAACUAAACUAUUCAUUUUUAGUUCAUUCAGAAGAAGUCCAAACCAUAGGCAGAAUGUAGCAUUGGUCUUAAUAUCAGCCUUGGUGCACCUUCCUAACCAGUCUGUGAACUUAAUAUAGUAAUAAAGUCUCUUGGGCUGUAGAAGACAAGCCAUAACCACCUUCAGCAUGAUGACCUUGUGUCUGCUCCGUGGCCUUUGGUUUUCCUAUAAAGUAAACACAGCACGAGAGUCUAUUUUAAUUACUCUCCAAAACUCAGAUAUGUAUUUCACUAUGCAGUGAAUCUUUGCACUUUACCUUUACCUUAUUCUUUAUAUUGUCUGAAACUGUAUUUCUAAUAAUACCCUUUCAGUUUAUCUUUGAAAGCUCACUUGAAAUAUGCUAUUUUUUUAUAGUUGCUUCCCAAAAUAAGCUUGUUAAAGACAUUUGCCAUCUAAAUCUAAUUAAUUUAAUUGAUUCUUCUUUUGUAGUGAAGGAAGACAGAUAGGGUGAGAAAUGCAAGUAUUACACAUUGGAUAUUCAUCAAAGGCUUUUUUCAUAGUGUUUCUCCUCUUCAGUCUGCAAUGCAAAUGAAAAAAUAGUAAGAGUAGUUCUAUUGAACAAAUGGAAAAUAUCCAGGUUUCUUUAAUUCUCAUCUCCUUCUCAUUUCUUUAACUCUCAAAUUCCCCUACCCCUUUGAGAGUGCAGACUUUUGAAACAUAAAUAUCUCCUUUACAGCUGCAGAAUUGUUCAGGUUUUAACUAGUUGUGUCCUAUAUCUUUGACACUACUUCUUUCUUGGUGUUAACAGAACGCAUCCACUUUAUUUACAAUCACACUGAAAGUAAUAGUUUCAUGAUCUGUUUCUCAUAUUGAGGAAUAGAUUAGAUAUGUAUAAAAAGCAUCCCAACAAAAGGGGACAGUUUCUCGUUUAUAAAGAUAAUUUUUGCUGCAGAGUUUACAGUUGUAAAAGUUAUUUGGCUAACUAUGUGAAACUAUGACUACAGAAAAAAAUAUCGCUUAAGAAUUAUUUGCUCAGAUAAAAAUAAAGAUAAAAUUUAAUAAAUUAAACUAUGGUGUGGUAAUUGCUUAUGUUGCCACUGUUGCUGACCAUGGCUACUGCAUGAAAGUGAAUUCUGAGGCCAGUAUUUCAUUCAAAAAAUUGUUAUGGGCAGGAAAGAAAACACACUUUAUAUGGGAAGCCAAGAAUUUAUAGUUAGUCUAAUGAAAAUCUUAAUUACAAUAUGACCCUUACUAAGAUUAGUCUUAUCACAAUAAUACUAUCUACCACAGUACAAAUUAUCUGUUUAAUACACAGAGACAUUAAUAACAGAGUUAGAACUUGUACAAAACCUUCCUAGUAUCUACCUCUGCUUUGGGGCUCUCUCUUAGGCUUCCAUUUUUCGUCCUGUAGCUGAUGGUGCCAGUAUUGCUAGAGAGGAAGAUGGAGAUAGCAGCAAACCACCACUGUCCCAUGCCCUUUGCCAGGAGAACUGUGAUGUUCAUGAUGAAGUUUCUUCCCUUUCUUUACUGGAAGGAGGAGUAUGAUGUUGAUGGCUUCUUCCUCCCCACUCUCAGGACCCCCGCCUGAGCUACCUUUCCAACACAUUCGUACACCUUGCUCCUUCUUCAUUGCUCUGCAACUCCAUUAUGUCCAAAUUUCCUCUGUAUGAUGUUUAUUACAUCUGCUUGAGACCUGCUCUUACAGCUCUUUUGGCUUCACCGAGCUCCCUGCCUGCAGUUCUUUACCAACACUGGAGACCUCUCUACAGCACUGGGGUCCUUGGGGGCAUCCUGAGACCCCUUUUGUUAGCCUCUGCUCCUGCUUCUCCCCCUUGCAUCCUGUCCCCACCUGCAGGUCCUCUGCUAUCACACCAAGCAGAUGCUCCUCUGCACUGCACCAUUCUGUCAGGGUCACAAAUAGGUCAUUCUAUACAAAAUAACAACUUGCUGCUGUCCAUAGAAAAAUUAUGGUUUAGUACUAGGUGGUAGACACACAUCCAUUUUUUUAACGGCUGUUAGUUUUCAGGGGAACACAUCUUCCUAGGAAGUCAACCUGACUGUCUCUAAGACCCCUUCUUCUUUAGAAGCUUACAUUCCUUUUCCAAAAAGAGCAGCAUAUGCAGCUGCUGCUUGUCUCUUUCAAGGCAGUUUGAUGUCACAACAUAAGAUGUGAAUUGGAACUUCCAGACUCAGGAACAAAAUGGAUCUGUCUCAGUGCUCAAACCGCUUCUCCUGUAUGCCAAAGACAGGAGAGAAGAAUGUUUUUCAUGGUUUACAGGAAUACAGUGAAUCUUAAUCUCUUUCUAAAAGAAUAAAUAUUCUGGGGUAGUGAACUGACGUGGAAAAAUUCAUCUGUCAUGGAGAGUGGUGAGAUCUCAAAUACAGCCUUGUUUUCAGUUUUUCUUAAGAGGCUAAUUUUAAAUAGCUUUCUUUUCUCAGUGUCUUUAUUUAUAUAUGUUCCAUUUAAGAGGCGUGGACUUCUACCAUAGGCUUUACAAUUCAUCAUGAGGGCAGAAUCCUAUAAUAUGGAUACUUCAAGAUAUAACUUUAGGUACCAAAGUCCUUUUCUGGACUUGGUACUUAAAUUUCUGUCCUGACUAAAGCAACGUAAUAAAUGUGAAACAACUAGAUCACAGCAGAGACCUGAAGAAUAGUCAGCAUACAGCUAUUAUUAGUAGUUCUCUGAAUUCCCUUUGUGUUCUGCACUGUCUUAACACUGGAAUUGUUCCUGCCUCAAAGAGAUUAAAUUAGGCUAAGGUUCAACAUGUGGAUUUUUAAAGAUAACUGCAGAGGAUGGGCAACAGAGAGCACACAGAAAAUAAAUAAUGCCAGAUAAUUACCUCUAUUGAUAAAGUCAGUGAAUGGAGACAAUGCAAUGUAAUACAUCUAGAUUUUACGAAAGGAUUCGAUAUAAUUUCUCACCAAAUGAUGUGUUGAUUAAAAAUUAGCACUAUACAAAAUGAAUGCAGCAUAUGCUAAAAAGAUUAUGACUCAGAAAGUAAUUCCAGAGAGCAUUUAUAACGGCAU